GAUAAGGUGACUGAAUUUUAAGUGAUAAAUUGUAAAUUUAUUUAUGGUAUAAACCUCUUAUCA
rnacentral:tRNA from 1 species